CCCCACGCGCCCCCUCCGCUCCCCGGCCGACGGCCCACCUGGGCUUCGUGAACAGUGGGAGGGAGAGUCUGGGGCCAGGAGAGGGACGGUGCAGGAUCAGGGAAAGGUGGAAAUCAGAAGUACAUGCAAUAGGAAUUAACUUGAAUAUGAUGCAUAAAGUUUGAAGCAAAGGAAGAUCUGCUGAGCAUGCCUGAGCUGAGAAAUGAGGGAAGGCAGACAUAUGUAUGAGCGCCUA
rnacentral:lncRNA from 1 species